UGUUAUAAGAUUUCCCAAAAAUCAAUCUCAAUGAAGAGGGUGUUGAAAUCAAGGAAACAUUUGAGGGCAUUCCAUAAAUUUUUCCCCUUCAAGCAAUAUCACAGAAAACCUUCCAUCCAAAGUCAAAAAAGUUAAAACCCAUUUUUGAGAGUUGUUGGUGACUCAUCCUAUAACUGAUGACAAUGUUAGGAAAUCCGGAGACGUCGUCAGGGGAUUUAGGAAGACUUAUCUUUUCUUUUUAAAAGCUUUCCCACCCUUAAAUCGGCUCAACUAGAGAUAGGAUCCAACAACUGGAAGAGAAUCACACGUCUUACAGUGUAUAGUGCGCCCUCGGUAGCCCUUGAAAAUCUGGAGGACUGAGUACCGUCCAUGCCCGGUCGUACUCAUAAUCGCAUUAGGUCUCCAAGGUGAACAACCUCU
rfam:Picea glauca, whole genome shotgun sequence.